GAUGAACGCUAGCGGCAGGCUUAAUACAUGCAAGUCGAGGGGCAGCACGGGUAGCAAUACCUGGUGGCGACCGGCGAACGGGUGCGUAACACGUAUGCAACUUACCUUAAACUGGGGCAUAACGCUGAGAAAUCGGUGCUAAUUCCCCAUAACACCACGAAACGGCAUCGUUUUGUGAUUAAAGCUCCGGCGGUUUAAGAUGGGCAUGCGCGACAUUAGGUAGUUGGUAAGGUAACGGCUUACCAAGCCUACGAUGUCUAGGGGUUCUGAGAGGAUUAUCCCCCACACUGGUACUGAGACGCGGACCAGACUCCUACGGGAGGCAGCAGUAGGGAAUAUUGGGCAAUGGACGCAAGUUUGACCCAGCCAUGCCGCGUGCAGGAUGAAGGCCCUAGUGGUUGUAAACUGCUUUUGUACGGGAAAAAACCCCCCGACGUGUCGGGGGUUGAUGGUACUGUAAGAAUAAGGAUCGGCUAACUCCGUGCCAGCAGCCGCAGUAACAC
rnacentral:rRNA from 1 species